rnacentral:rRNA from 1 species
UACGUAGGGGGCAAGCGUUGUCCGGAUUUAUUGGGCGUAAAGAGCAGUGUAGGCGGUCAGGUAGGUCCGUUGUGAAAACUCGAGGCUCAACCUCGAGACGCCGAUGGAAACCAUCUGACUAGAGUCCGGAAGAGGAGAGUGGAAUUCCUGGUGUAGCGGUGAAAUGCGCAGAUAAUUCAGGAGGAACACCGGCGGCGAAGGCGGGUCUCUGGGCCGAUAACUGACGCUGAGAGCGAAAGCGUGGGGAGCGAACAGG